ensembl:lncRNA
CCCUAGUUUGGUUUGGUAACAGCUGGUGCAGGUACUAAAUUAAUCUUCACAAAUACCAGGGAAGGAGAGUUUAGAACCCCCAUUUGACCUAAGUAACCGAGGCUUUACAAGGUUAACCAACUGGCCCACGAUACUUAGAUGCUCAGUGGUGGGCUGAGACACUGGUCCCAUGUGUGACUGCAGAGCUCAGCUUUUGGAAAAGACCACCUCAAGGACAGAGACGGGCCACCCAGGAGUAGACUCCGUGUGCGCAUCUUCAGAACUGAUCUGACCUCCAGCUGUGUUUAAACACCAGUGAGCCAGAAGACCAACAGCCUUUGCCAGCUGAGUAAGGCUUCCAGUGUGGUUGCCUCCUGCUGGAAGCCUGGAAUGCUGGAAUCAGGCCACGUCCUGGCUUUACAGGACACCAGGCUGCACUGUAAGAAGUUCCUGGCUCUCCCCUGGAUCCUGGCCAUCACAUGGUCAGAGAAGACAUUUUUCUUUUGCCUGUUGCAAUGGCACGGAUUCUUUCAGUUCCCUGGUGUAGGUGCAGUGUGGAGCCCAG